GAUGAACGCUGGCGGCGUGCCUAAUACAUGCAAGUCGAGCGAACGGACGAGAAGCUUGCUUCUCUGAUGUUAGCGGCGGACGGGUGAGUAACACGUGGAUAACCUACCUAUAAGACUGGGAUAACUUCGGGAAACCGGAGCUAAUACCGGAUAAUAUUUUGAACCGCAUGGUUCAAAAGUGAAAGACGGUCUUGCUGUCACUUAUAGAUGGAUCCGCGCUGCAUUAGCUAGUUGGUAAGGUAACGGCUUACCAAGGCAACGAUGCAUAGCCGACCUGAGAGGGUGGUCGGCCACACUGGAGCUGAGACGCGGUCCAGACUCCUACGGGAGGCAGCAGUAGGGAAUCUUCCGCAAUGGGCGAAAGCCUGACGGAGCAACGCCGCGUGAGUGAUGAAGGUCUUCGGAUCGUAAAACUCUGUUAUUAGGGAAGAACAUAUGUGUAAGUAACUGUGCACAUCUUGACGGUACCUAAUCAGAAAGCCACGGCUAACUACGUG
rnacentral:rRNA from 1 species